rnacentral:rRNA from 1 species
GAUGAACGCUGGCGGCGUGCCUAAUACAUGCAAGUCGAGCGAACAGACGAGGAGCUUGCUCCUCUGACGUUAGCGGCGGACGGGUGAGUAACACGUGGAUAACCUACCUAUAAGACUGGGAUAACUUCGGGAAACCGGAGCUAAUACCGGAUAAUCUAUUGAACCGCAUGGUUCAAUAGUGAAAGACGGUUUUGCUGUCACUUAUAGAUGGAUCCGCGCCGCAUUAGCUAGUUGGUAAGGUAACGGCUUACCAAGGCAACGAUGCGUAGCCGACCUGGGAGGGUGAUCGGCCACACUGGAACUGAGACACGGUCCAGACUCCGACGGGAGGCAGCAGUAGGGAAUCUUCCGCAAUGGGCGAAAGCUUGACGGAGCAACGCCGCGUGAGUGAUGAAGGUCUUCGGAUCGUAAAACUCUGUUAUUAGGGAAGAACAAAUGUGUAAGUAACUAUGCACGUCUUGACGGUACCUAAUCAGAAAGCCACGGCUAACUACGUG